UGCAUCAUGUGCGAUUUAUGUCGAGAGUGUUAAAUAAAGUGCCGUUAUCAUCUUCUGUGACAAUACAUGCAAUCGUCAUUAACUGUGUUUCGCGAGUGAGUGCCAUACAAACGCCAUGAAGAAGCAGUAAAGGACAAACAAGAGGAAAUCUGGGACGAUGCAUUGGACGAUGACGGACAGCCAUGAGGCUUGAUGCUGAGAUCGAUCGUCUGGAUAUCGAGGUAGAGAUCACGAGGAGAUCAGCGAGGAGAGCAGCAUCCUGGCGUAAAAGCCAAGACGAAGGCAACGGGGAUCAAGAAUUCGCUUUGGACCUUCUUUCAUAAUUCAGUGAGCAAAUCUCGACAACCGUCUUCCCCGAAUCACGUCUACGAAAAUCGUCAAGUAGCAAGAGCGCCCCGUCAAAGGUAGAUGCAAUACACAAGGAGAUUGAUCGGUGGAGAUGUUUCUUGCUCGAAGAUUUCUGUAUUGAUGCACUAGCAACCAUAAUGGGGAAGAUAACGCACACCUAAUAGUAAAGCAGAAGGACUAUAAAGGCACAUCAGUCUAUUUUCCAAGAUAGACAUAUUUAACAAUGGUAUAACGGAGCAACAAAAUAAAUGGAAUAAAAGAAAUGACGUGUGUGUGGGCGACAAAAGUGAGAAAAACUUUUCAUCUUGUUUCUCGCGGCUGUCGCGUUUUGCGGUGGCAUUUAUCCGUUAUUCUCAAGGAGCAACCUUAAGCUUUGCGAAAAGAAUAAAAUA